rnacentral:rRNA from 1 species
UACGUAGGGCGCAAGCGUUAUCCGGAAUUAUUGGGCGUAAAGAGCUCGUAGGCGGUCUGUCGCGUCUGCUGUGAAAACUCAGGGCUUAACCCUGAGCUUGCAGUGGGUACGGGCAGACUAGAGUGCGGUAGGGGAGACUGGAAUUCCUGGUGUAGCGGUGAAAUGCGCAGAUAUCAGGAGGAACACCGGUGGCGAAGGCGGGUCUCUGGGCCGUAACUGACGCUGGAGGAGCGGAAAAGCAUGGGGAGCGAAACAGG